GCUCAGGAUGAACGCUGGCGGCGUGCCUAAUACAUGCAAGUCGAGCGAAUGGAUUGAGAGCUUGCUCUCAAGAAGUUAGCGGCGGACGGGUGAGUAACACGUGGGUAACCUGCCCAUAAGACUGGGAUAACUCCGGGAAACCGGGGCUAAUACCGGAUAACAUUUUGAACUGCAUGGUUCGAAAUUGAAAGGCGGCUUCGGCUGUCACUUAUGGAUGGACCCGCGUCGCAUUAGCUAGUUGGUGAGGUAACGGCUCACCAAGGCAACGAUGCGUAGCCGACCUGAGAGGGUGAUCGGCCACACUGGGACUGAGACACGGCCCAGACUCCUACGGGAGGCAGCAGUAGGGAAUCUUCCGCAAUGGACGAAAGUCUGACGGAGCAACGCCGCGUGAGUGAUGAAGGCUUUCGGGUCGUAAAACUCUGUUGUUAGGGAAGAACAAGUGCUAGANNNUANUUGAAUAAGCUGGCACCUUGACGGUACCUAACCAGAAAGCCACGGCUAACUACGUGCCAGC
rnacentral:rRNA from 2 species